CAGGAGUCCGGCUCUAAGCCGAUACCCUCCACCAUUGUGCGUAACAGCAAUUUGCCUUGGCGGGCGGAGUCCGCCCGCCAGGUGAACCUAUAUAAACACUUAUAAAUAGUGCGUCAGAGUAUAUAUAUCAAUAAGUCA
rnacentral:misc_RNA from 1 species